rnacentral:lncRNA from 1 species
CUUGGCUUCCCAAAAGUAAACAUCAGUGUGGCAGAGAGAGGUGAAGAGGAUCUUCAGACGGACCUCCAUUGCUUGUGGUGGUGCCACCUCCACUUCUUCAAUCACUAGUGGCUUCCCGGCUUCCCAUGCCACCGCAGCUACAUGCAGUUGCAAUGUAUUUCAAAGAAUAAGCAUAUACAAUGACAAAUGGUUUUCCUCAAAAACGAAGCAUCAAAGUAUGAUGAUAAAACCCUAAACACUCAAGUAAAAAUCCAGAAUGAAAAUAGACCUUUGCAACGAAUGACCUGACCAGCAGUGCUUUGGGCAGACAUAUUGACUUGGCAAACUAUCCGUUUUCUCCUUUUGGAAACCUGGAAAAAUAUUCUAGUAAAUUGGGGUUUAGGAGCUUGGCAUCUCUUAAAGUAAGAAUCGAGGGGACUGAUAUUUUUACACGUCAAAGAAGCCUGUUUUGACAGGGCAUUUGUAAGAGACAUAUACAUUGAAUUCAUGAACUAGAAGCAAGAAUUCACCCAAGGAAAACGCUGUUCUUCUUUUGAUCCGCAAAGCAAACGACGCCUAAAAUUUAUUUGUUUUCCCGAACAUGGGUUCGUGAAUAUAGUAUUUUAGUAGAUUAAUUCGACGGGUUGAGGCAAGUGUGCAACUUUACAUUUAGCUAAAAGUGAUCAGACGCUUGUUUCGAAAUAUCUGCCUUCUACCAUUUUCGGCCGGACACGUGGUGGUCCUCCGUACCCCUGUCGACUGAGUCCCUGUCAUGCCUGACCAUACUCAGAACUUACAAUAUGGACUUUUUCAACCAUGCGCUCUAUAAAAUUUUAAGCAUAUCAAUUGUUUUAUCAAAUUAUAUUUUUAAGUAUAUAUAUUUGAUUUUGGUUUAAUUGAUAUUCUUAUUUGUAUAUAUAAUAUAUCAAUAUAAAAAAUUUCAACUCAUAUAUAAGAAUCAAAAUUAUCAAAAUUUACAUAUAAAAAAUACUUGUAUAUCCCGUCCCAAAAUAGGUUAGGAGUUAGACUUAUUAAACUUGAAAAAUAUAUUUUAAAUCUUUAUCAAUUGAUUAAUUGAAGAGAAAUGGAAUUGUAGUUUGAUGAUUCAUCAAGGCAAAGGAACAGAAGCGUGGUGGUACUGUCUCAUAUAGUAUACAGAGCAUGAAAAAGGGAAACAACAUUAAGAUAUGUAUGAUCGAUGGCGAUUACAAAUGAAGUUUGAUAGGUUUCAAGUAUCCAUGCGAAUAAGACAGCGGAUGCCCUCCCCAGCAAGCAUGUAAUCGAAAGCCUUGUUUAUAUCUGAGAAUGCCACUUCAUGCGUUAUAAAUUUCUCCAGCUCAAGCUCCUGCAUGUAUCACAUUACUCUUUCUGAGUUCAUAACAAAUUACAGAAAUGAAUGUUCUAAGCAGCCAUCCAAUUGCUUGCUAGGAAGGAAUGAUGUAGCUUACUUUGUUCAUGUACUUCUCCACAACUGAAGGAAGGUCGGACCGGGGCUUGUAGUUGCCAAAGAAGGUACCUUUCAGAGUCCUCUCGUUCAGAAAAUUCACGGGAUGUGUUUUAAAAGCAUCAUCUUUGUUCGGAACACCGACGAGUACGGCUACACCCCAUCCCUGCAUAAAAACAGAAAACAUAGCCCAAUGUGUCAAGCAUUAUUGUCUCUGUUCUUAGCUUCAUUCUGCUUCCUAGGCAAAAUGCAUGAAGAAAGGGAAUUACAUCGUGGACACAUUCAAAAGCAGAGAUCAUGGCAUUGAUGUUUCCCGUGCACUCAACGCUUCGAUCAACUCCUCCAUUUGUCAUUUCAGCCAGCACCUGAAAAUAAGGGAGUAAAUUUUGGGAAUGAAGUGUUGUAUUUAUUUAAAUGUACAUUACAGCCAAAAGUUAUGGUUUUCAGUCACAGACCUCUUGAACUGGCUUGUCAUAGUCUUUAGGGUUCACGAAUUCAUUGCAUCCAAAUUUCUUGGCUGUUUAAGAUACACCGAGGAAACAAAACAUUAGAGGAAGCAUUUCAAUUUUCAGGACAGUAAAUCAACAACUCCCUUUUGGGAUUCGUAGCUUACCUUCCUCAAAUCUGUUAGGAUUCAGAUCGACUCCAAUAAUCCUAGAAGCGCCUGCAAUUCUAGCCCCUUCAGCAGCCUAAUUAUAAACACCACAUCAACCAGCAGCAGGGCCAAGGGGAAAUAAAUUAUACGAAACUAUGUUGGUUUAACUCUUUACUGAUAUCAAUAUAUAUAUAUAUAUAUAUGAGAGGACUCUGAAGAAAGUGAUACAACCAUGUCGGACACUCACGUCCAAAUUUGAUUAAACAUAGUAUUGAAGAAGGGAUACUCACAGCAAGGCCUACUGCUCCCAGUCCAAAAAUGGCCACAGUUGAACCUUUGGUGGGCUUUGCAACAUUCAAGAUGGCACCAAGACCUCGAAAAUUAUUUAAAACUCCAUUAAACUAACAUAUUAAAUGGAAAAUGAAAAUUCUGAAUCAAGUAACAAAUUGGUUUUGUUUAAGACCUGUAGAGAUUCCACAGCUGAGAACAAAAAUUUUGUCAAGAGGAGCGGCGGGAUUGACUUUAGCAACACAACCAACAUGCACAACAGUGUAUUCACUGAAGGUGGAUGUGCCAACAAAAUGGUAGAUGGGUUUUCCAUUAAUGGAGAACCUAGUCUUGCCAUCACUAAGCAUCACCCCUCGAUCAGUGUUGAUCCUUAGCAGGUCACACAUGUUGCUUUCCUCGGACUUGCAGUGACGACAGUCGCCGCAUUCCCCGGUGAAGACCGGAAGCACAUGGUCCCCGGGCUUAAGGUCUGUCACACCCUCACCCAAACUCUCAACAACCCUGUCAAUAGAGGGAUAAAAAUAUCUAAUUGAGUUGCUCAAUGUAUAGGGAAAUGGAUGGGAUAUGAGUUUAGGGCAUACCCCCCAGCUUCAUGACCAAAUAUGCGAGGAAAGACUGGAGUUUGGCCCUGUAAGAUGACAAAUGAUUGACCAUAUUAGUUUUCAAGUAUGUUAAUUGCUUCACAACGUGAACGAAUCAUGAGAGGCAAUAAAUUAAUUAAAUUACCUUGGCUUCCCAAAAGUAAACAUCAGUGUGGCAGAGAGAGGUGAAGAGGAUCUUCAGACGAACCUCCAUUGCUUGCGGUGGUGCCACCUCCACUUCUUCAAUCGUCAGUGCCCUCCCAGACUCCCAUGCCACCGCAGCUAGUUACAGUUGCAAAGUAUUCCAAUUUUUUUAAAAUAAAUAAACAUAUACAAUUGCACAUAAACUCUUAAGUAAGAUUCGAGAAUCAAAGAGAAAAGAUAAAUGAAGAAAACAGAACCAAAUGUACCUU